rnacentral:tRNA from 1 species
UAUUUAGUUAAAAAUAAAUUACGAACUUAUAAAUCAUACUAGUAAAAUUUUAAAUA